rnacentral:rRNA from 1 species
UCCGUAGGCGGAUCCGUAAGUCAGUGGUGAAAUCUCAUAGCUUAACUAUGAAACUGCCAUUGAUACUGCGGGUCUUGAGUAAAGUAGAAGUGGCUGGAAUAAGUAGUGUAGCGGUGAAAUGCAUAGAUAUUACUUAGAACACCAAUUGCGAAGGCAGGUCACUAUGUUUUAACUGACGCUGAUGGACGAAAGCGUGGGGAGCGAACAGGAUUAGAUACCCUGGUAGUCCACGCCGUAAACGAUGCUAACUCGUUUUUGGGCUUUCGGGUUCAGAGACUAAGCGAAAGUGAUAAGUUAGCCACCUGGGGAGUACGUUCGCAAGAAUGAA